GAAGACCUUACCCGAUUAGCUGAGAGGUGGUGCAUGGCCGUCGUCAGUUCGUACUGUGAAGCAUCCUGUUAAGUCAGGCAACGAGCGAGACCCACGUCCACAGUUGCCAGCAUACCCUCCGGGGUGAUGGGUACACUGUGGAGACCGCCGCUGCUAAAGCGGAGGAAGGAGUGGGCAACGGUAGGUCAGUAUGCCCCGAAUCUCCCGGGCUACACGCGGGCUACAAUGGUUGGUACAAUGGGCAUCUACCCCGAAAGGGGAAGGAAAUCUCUUAAAGCCAAUCGUAGUUCGGAUUGAGGGCUGCAACUCGCCCUCAUGAAGCUGGAAUCCGUAGUAAUCGCGUUUCAACAGAACGCGGUGAAUACGUCCCUGCUCCUU
rnacentral:rRNA from 1 species